rnacentral:rRNA from 1 species
GACGAACGCUGGCGGCGUGCUUAACACAUGCCAGUCGAACGGAAAGGCCUUUUCGGCGGUACUCGAGUGGCGAACGGGUGAGUAACACGUGGGUGAUCUGCCCUGCACUCUGGGAUAAGCCUGGGAAACUGGGUCUAAUACCGGAUAGGACCGCACUUUAGUGUGUGUGGUGGAAAGUUUUUUCGGUGUAGGAUGAGCCCGCGGCCUAUCAGCUUGUUGGUGGGGUAAUGGCCUACCAAGGCGGCGACGGGUAGCCGGACUGAGAGGUUGGUCGGCCACAUUGGGACUGAGAUACGGCCCAGACUCCUACGGGAGGCAGCAGUGGGGAAUAUUGCACAAUGGGCGCAAGCCUGAUGCAGCGACGCCGCGUGGGGGAUGACGGCCUUCGGGUUGUAAACUCCUUUCGCCAGGGACGAAGCGUUUUGUGACGGUACCUGGAGAAGAAGCACCGGCUAACUACGUG